GGAGGACAUACAGUGGGGAAUUUUCACGCAAUGGGCGCAAAGCCCUGCACGGAGCCAAUAACCGACGUGAGGUGAUGGGCGGCUCUAUGUGGCUUGUAAUACCUCGUUUUUUCAUGGGUAGGAAUAAUAAUAGACCGUGUACGCUGAAGAUAUAGAGCAUACGGCUAACUCACGUGCCAUGCAGACCGCGGCUAAGACGGAGGAUAGCAAGUCUAUAUCCGGUAAUCACUGCGGUCGUAAAGCAGUACUGUAGGUGAGUCAAGAUAAGUUCAAGCUGUUAAAUCAUUGAGGUCUCAGACUUCAGAAAUACGCAGUCGCAAACGUAUUAUAACUAGUAGUAUAGUAUGGGGUAAAGUGGAAUUUCCUAGUGGAGCGGGUGAAGAUGACGUAGCAUAUGUGGAAGAGAACAGCCGCAUGGGCGAAGGGCACGUCUAGCUGGAGCUAUACAUCUGACACGUCAGAUGACGAGAAGACUAGGCGUAGGCAAACUGAAGAGUGAGAUACGCCCAGUAGUCUCUAGCCGCUAAAUCAAUUGUAAUAAGAGGAUUAUUGAACUAGAUCGACCUGUGCCAGUAUCAAAUGCUAAACGCGUUAAG
rnacentral:rRNA from 1 species